rnacentral:snRNA from 1 species
GGAUGUGAGGGCAGUCUGGUGGCUGCGACAUCUGUCACCCCCCUGGUCACCAGGGUCGAUUAGGCUGAUCUGGCUGGCCAGGCAGAUUUCCCCUUCCUGCCUCAAUACUCCACGUGCAGCUCUCCCAAGCUGAACCCUGGGUCGAAGAGGACUACUAUCCUGGAUAGAGGAGGACCAGUCUUUAGUCGAGGUUACAAGAGUAGCUGUGCUCCCUUUCUAGAACCUUCAAACAAACUCUCAAGAAUGAAACAAAACAAUAGAGCUAAAAGGCCAAUGGUGGAGGUAAAAAUUGAAUAUCAUCUGUAGAUU